CAGCUGUCUCUUGUGCUUGAUCUAACCAUGUGCCACCGCCUACACUCGCCUCACAUGGUUCCGUCAAGCACCAGGGACCGCUG
rnacentral:pre_miRNA from 1 species